GACAGAGGCCUCAAGCGUUAGGCGGAAUCACUGGGCUUAAAGCGUGUGUAGGCGGACGCCUAAGUGUCUUGUGAAAUCCCACGGCUCAACCGUGGAACUGCUUGGCAUACUGCGAGACUCGAGGACGGUAGGGGAGAGCGGAACUCCUGGUGGAGCGGUGAAAUGCGUAGAUAUCAGGAGGAACACCGGUGGCGAAGGCGGCUCUCUGGUCCGUUUCUGACGCUGAUGUGCGAAAGCUAGGGUAGCGAACGGG
rnacentral:rRNA from 1 species